UGGGGAAUAUUGGACAAUGGGCGCAAGCCUGAUCCAGCCAUGCCGCGUGUGGGAAGAAGGCCUUCGGGUUGUAAACCACUUUUGUCAGGGAAGAAACGGCCUGAUCUAAUACAUUGGGUUAAUGACGGUACCUGAAGAAUAAGCACCGGCUAACUACGUGCCAGCAGCCGCGGUAAUACGUAGGGUGCGAGCGUUAAUCGGAAUUACUGGGCGUAAAGCGUGCGCAGGCGGCUUUGCAAGACAGAUGUGAAAUCCCCGGGCUCAACCUGGGAACUGCAUUUGUGACUGCAAGGCUAGAGUACGGUAGAGGGGGAUGGAAUUCCGCGUGUAGCAGUGAAAUGCGUAGAUAUGCGGAGGAACACCGAUGGCGAAGGCAGCCUCCUGGGAUAACACUGACGCUCAUGCACGAAAGCGUGGGGAGCAAACAGGAUUAGAUACCCCUGUAGUCCCUGAGCGGGCUGGCAAGGCGCAU
rnacentral:rRNA from 1 species